CCUACGGGAGGCAGCAGUUAGGAAUUUUGGGCAAUGGGCGAAAGCCUGACCCAGCAACGCCGCGUGGGUGACGAAGGCCUUCGGGUUGUAAAGCCCUUUUCUGAGGGAAGAUGAUGACGGUACCUCAGGAAUAAGCACCGGCUAACUACGUGCCAGCAGCCGCGGUAAUACGUAGGGUGCAAGCGUUGCCCGGAUUUAUUGGGCGUAAAGGGCGCGCAGGCGGCUACGCACGUCCGUUGUGAAAUCGCUCGGCUCAACUGGGCGGGGUCAGCGGAUACGGCGUAGCUGGAGCAAGCUAGGGGGCAAUGGAAUUCCCGGUGUAGUGGUGGAAUGCGUAGAUAUCGGGAGGAACACCAGUGGCGAAGGCGGUUGCCUGGAGCUUUGCUGACGCUGAGGCGCGAAAGCGUGGGGAGCGAUCCGGAUUAGAUACCCGGGUAGUCCACGCCGUAAACGAUGUCGACUAGGUGUCGGGGGUAUCGACCCCCUCGGCGCCGCAGCUAACGCAUAGUCGACCGCCUGGGACUACGGCCGCAAGGCUAAACUAAUGAAUUGAGG
rnacentral:rRNA from 1 species